CCCAGACUCCUACGGGAGGCAGCAGUGGGGAAUAUUGCACAAUGGGCGAAAGCCUGAUGCAGCGACGCCGCGUGAGUGAAGAAGUAUUUCGGUAUGUAAAGCUCUCUCAGCAGGGAAGAAAAUGACGGUACCUGACUAAGAAGCCCCGGCUAACUACGUGCCAGCAGCCGCGGUAAUACGUAGGGGGCAAGCGUUAUCCGGAUUUACUGGGUGUAAAGGGAGCGUAGACGGCAGCACAAGUCUGGAGUGGAAUGCCGGGGCUUAACCCCGGAACUGCUUUGGAAACUGUGCAGCUAGAGUGCAGGAGAGGUAAGUGGAAUUCCUAGUGUAGCGGUGAAAUGCGUAGAUAUUAGGAGGAACACCAGUGGCGAAGGCGGCUUACUGGACUGUAAAUGACGCUGAGGCUCGAAAGCGUGGGGAGCAAACAGGAUUAGAUACCCGCGUA
rnacentral:rRNA from 1 species